UACGUAGGGGGCUAGCGUUGUCCGGAAUCAUUGGGCGUAAAGAGCGUGUAGGCGGUCCGGUAAGUCCGUUGUGAAAGUCAGGGGCUCAACCCUUGAAUGCCGGCGGAUACUGUCGGGCUAGAGUCCGGAAGAGGCGAGUGGAAUUCCCGGUGUAGCGGUGAAAUGCGCAGAUAUCGGGAAGAACACCUGUGGCGAAGGCGGCUCUCUGGGACGGUACUGACGCUGAGACGCGAAAGCGUGGGGAGCAAACAGG
rnacentral:rRNA from 1 species